UUUCAUUCUUCUUUGUUGGAUUCUCACAGUUUUGUGUUGGAUUUUCUUUGGCUUGUACCUUUUCUUGAACAAUUUCUCGAGUGACACUUGCAAAGCUCUUGAGAUGUUCCAAGAAAAUCCCAACAACAACAGCCUAAGUUCUAUUCUCCCAUGUGAGCAACUUCUAACUGCAAAAUCAGUUCUCACUGAUGUUAACACACAAAUUGCUAUAUCAUAUCCAGACAUUGCUUUGGUUUGUAAUCCUUUCUCACAACCUCCUUAUUAUGAAUACCAACCUCAAAGCUGUGCAGCAAACACCAUCCGUAUUGGAGACAUCCCUAAGGUAAAUAUGUUACGACGUACAACGUUGUUGCUAAUAUUGUUCACUUUCAGCAGCCUAAAUGUAACCAUAGUCACUAUUCCAUACUUGAAAUAAGCAUAUCUCCAACUCUUCUUCAAUAUUAAACUUCCAACUGCUCCCCAAAAUCCAAUUAUAAAUCCAAUAAUUAUCGAAAUUCUUUUUGGUGGUGUUGUUUCAAAUACUUAGUUUCACAAUUUUGAAAAGCGGGAAGUUUAAUUAUGUGAAG